CUUGAGACUACAGUUGUUCAAGAUGGUGAAGAUAGGCCGGUAUCACCAGUGUCUGAGUCUGUAUCGUCGGAAGAAGAUCCGUUCUCUCCUGAACCUGAAGUUACCAGAACUAGAAGGACUGCAAGGGAAAGAAAAGUACCUGAAUGGCAUAAAGAGUAUGUGAUGUCCAGCCAGACUACAACAACUUCUGUUUUGAGGAAAGCUGAAUUGGUCAGAUCAUUACUGCCUGCAGAUUUUAUGUCAUUAUCACCAGAAAGUUUACGAGUGGUGCUGGAAACUUUACCCAUGCUGUGCCAAACCUUAUUUCCAGAAGUUUUCAAGAAUGCGAGUUGAGGACAACCUUUCUCCUUGGCAGGGGAGUAUGUGACAGAGUGAAGAUUUAUUUUAAUCUAUUUGUAUAAUAUAUGCUAUUUUAUUGUAUAGUGUUCUUUUUGCACAGUGUCCUUUUAUGCAUGUUUUAACACAGUGAGCACAUUUAACCUUACACACCAAGUAUUGCUAUAACAUCUUUAUCACCCUUGUCUGUCUCUAUAGUUUUCUUGUGGACUGGUGAGUAGUGUUCAACUCACCAUGUGCAUGUUCUCUCUUAUCUGAACAUUCAUUGGUCACCUGACUAUUUUGACAUUCUUACUUUAGAUUUUGUUGGAGAAAGAUCACCUUCUGAUUUUCUCCAGGUAUCUACUAGUUAGUUAGUUUUGGCGGGAUUUUGGUAUUUCAUCAAUAUUCCAAUUUCUAUAAUUAGCUUUAGUUUGAUAUAGUAUAGUGUUUAAUAAGGUUACAGAUGAAUUAAAUAGGAAUUACAGAUUCAACAGCAGGUUUAUUGGAAGUGCUUGCCACCAUCUUUUGGCUUCCAAGUGGUUGGAAAACCCCUUUAUAGGGGUUUUUAUUGUGGUUAUUAUUAAUAAACCGAUUUAUGCGAGAACCUGAACCCUUGUGUCUUUUUCUUAAUCCGGAAAUUGCACCCUACAA